UACGGGGGAGCAGCAGUGAGGAAUUUUGCGCAAUGGGGGAAACCCUGACGCAGCAACGCCGCGUGAGUGAAGAAGGCCCUUGGGUCGUAAAGCUCUGUCGACAGGGAAGAAAUUACUUCGUAUUAAUAGUAUGUUGUAUUGACGGUACCUGUAGAGGAAGCACCGGCUAACUCCGUGCCAGCAGCCGCGGUAAUACGGGGGGUGCAAGCGUUAUUCGGAAUUAUUGGGCGUAAAGGGCGCGUAGGCGGUUUUGUCGGUCAGAUGUGAAAGCCCGGGGCUCAACCCUGGAAGUGCAUUUGAAACAGCAAGACUUGAAUACUGGAGGGGAGAGCGGAAUUCCUGGUGUAGAGGUGAAAUUCGUAGAUAUCAGGAGGAACACCGAUGGCGAAGGCAGCUCUCUGGACAGAUAUUGACGCUGAGGCGCGAAGGUGUGGGUAGCAAACGGGAUUAGAUACCCCGGUAGUCCACACAGUAAACGUUGUUCACUCGGUGUAGCGGAUAUUAAAAUCUGCUGCGCCCCAGCUAACGCGGUAAGUGAACCGC
rnacentral:rRNA from 1 species